rnacentral:tRNA from 1 species
AAAAAAUUAGUUAAAGUUUUAUAACAUAAGCUUGUCAAGCUUAAAUUAUCAAUAGAUAUUUUUUA